rnacentral:rRNA from 1 species
UGCGUAGGCGGAAUUUUAAGUCAGUGGUGAAAUCCUGCAGCUUAACUGUAGAACUGCCAUUGAUACUGAUCUUCUUGAAUUUAGUUGAGGUGGGCGGAACGUGUAAUGUAGCGGUGAAAUGCUUAGAUAUUACACAGAACACCGAUUGCGAAGGCAGCUCACUAAACUAACAUUGACGCUGAGGCACGAAAGCGUGGGUAGCGAACAGGAUUAGAUACCCUGGUAGUCC